rnacentral:rRNA from 1 species
CUACGGGGUGCUGCAGUGAGGAAUAUUGCACAAUGGGGGGAACCCUGAUGUAGCAACGCCGCGUGGAGGAUGACGCAUUUCGGUGUGUAAACUCCUUUUAUAUGUCAAGAAAAUGACGGUAGCAUAUGAAUAAGCACCGGUUAACUCCGUGCCAGCAGCCGCGGUAAUACGGAGGGUGCAAGCGUUACUCGGAAUCACUGGGCGUAAAGGACGCGUAGGCGGGUUGGAAAGUCAGGUGUGAAAUCCUACAGCUUAACUGUAGAACUGCACUUGAAACUUCUAAUCUAGAGUAUGGGAGGGGGAGAUGGAAUUAGUGGUGUAGGGGUAAAAUCCGUAGAUAUCACUAGGAAUACCUAAAGCGAAGGCGAUCUCCUGGAACAUUACUGACGCUAAGGCGUUAAAGCGUGGGGAGCAAACAGGAUUAGAUACCCCUGUAGUC